rnacentral:rRNA from 1 species
AGCGUACACGGUGGAUGCCCUGGCAGUCAGAGGCGAUGAAGGACGUGCUAAUCUGCGAUAAGCGCCGGUAAGGUGAUAUGAACCGUUAUAACCGGCGAUUUCCGAAUGGGGAAACCCAGUGUGACUCGUCACACUAUCAUUAACUGAAUCCAUAGGUUAAUGAGGCGAACCGGGGGAACUGAAACAUCUAAGUACCCCGAGGAAAAGAAAUCAACCGAGAUUCCCCCAGUAGCGGCGAGCGAACGGGGAGGAGCCCAGAGCCUGAAUCAGCAUGUGUGUUAGUGGAAGCGUCUGGAAAGGCGCGCGAUACAGGGUGACAGCCCCGUACACAAAAGCGCAUGUGUUGUGAGCUCGAUGAGUAGGGCGGGACACGUGGUAUCCUGUCUGAAUAUGGGGGGACCAUCCUCCAAGGCUAAAUACUCCUGACUGACCGAUAGUGAACCAGUACCGUGAGGGAAAGGCGAAAAGAACCCCGGCGAGGGGAGUGAAAAAGAACCUGAAACCGUGUACGUACAAGCAGUGGGAGCCCCACCACUAAGCCAGUGGUGAACUCCACAUACGCAUCCUUUGCUGAAGGUGCGGUUAACGGAGCGCAAGCGACGUUCAACCUCAAAAGAAGCAGAGGGGGCUUAGUGGUGGGGUGACUGCGUACCUUUUGUAUAAUGGGUCAGCGACUUAUAUUCUGUAGCAAGGUUAACCGCAUAGGGGAGCCGGAGGGAAACCGAGUCUUAAUUGGGCGUUAAGUUGCAGGGUAUAGACCCGAAACCCGGUGAUCUAGCCAUGGGCAGGUUGAAGGUUGGGUAACACUAACUGGAGGACCGAACCGACUAAUGUUGAAAAAUUAGCGGAUGACCUGUGGCUGGGGGUGAAAGGCCAAUCAAACCGGGAGAUAGCUGGUUCUCCCCGAAAGCUAUUUAGGUAGCGCCUCGUGAAUUCAUCUCCGGGGGUAGAGCACUGUUUCGGCUAGGGGGCCAUCCCGGCUUACCAACCCGAUGCAAACUGCGAAUACCGGAGAAUGUUAUCACGGGAGACACACGGCGGGUGCUAACGUCCGUCGUGAAGAGGGAAACAACCCAGACCGCCAGCUAAGGUCCCAAAGUCAUGGUUAAGUGGGAAACGAUGUGGGAAGGCCCAGACAGCCAGGAUGUUGGCUUAGAAGCAGCCAUCAUUUAAAGAAAGCGUAAUAGCUCACUGGUCGAGUCGGCCUGCGCGGAAGAUGUAACGGGGCUAAACCAUGCACCGAAGCUGCGGCAGCGACGCUGAUGCGUUGUUGGGUAGGGGAGCGUUCUGUAAGCCUGUGAAGGUGGCCUGUGAGGGUUGCUGGAGGUAUCAGAAGUGCGAAUGCUGACAUAAGUAACGAUAAAGCGGGUGAAAAGCCCGCUCGCCGGAAGACCAAGGGUUCCUGUCCAACGUUAAUCGGGGCAGGGUGAGUCGACCCCUAAGGCGAGGCCGAAAGGCGUAGUCGAUGGGAAACGGGUUAAUAUUCCCGUACUUGGUGUUACUGCGAAGGGGGGACGGAGAAGGCUAUGUUGGCCGGGCGACGGUUGUCCCGGUUUAAGCGUGUAGGUGUGUGUUCCAGGUAAAUCCGGUUCACUUUAACACUGAGGCGUGAUGACGAGGCACUACGGUGCUGAAGCAACAAAUGCCCUGCUUCCAGGAAAAGCCUCUAAGCAUCAGGUAACAUCAAAUCGUACCCCAAACCGACACAGGUGGUCAGGUAGAGAAUACCAAGGCGCUUGAGAGAACUCGGGUGAAGGAACUAGGCAAAAUGGUGCCGUAACUUCGGGAGAAGGCACGCUGACACGUAGGUGAAGUGAUUUACUCAUGGAGCUGAAGUCAGUCGAAGAUACCAGCUGGCUGCAACUGUUUAUUAAAAACACAGCACUGUGCAAACACGAAAGUGGACGUAUACGGUGUGACGCCUGCCCGGUGCCGGAAGGUUAAUUGAUGGGGUCAGCGCAAGCGAAGCUCCUGAUCGAAGCCCCGGUAAACGGCGGCCGUAACUAUAACGGUCCUAAGGUAGCGAAAUUCCUUGUCGGGUAAGUUCCGACCUGCACGAAUGGCGUAAUGAUGGCCAGGCUGUCUCCACCCGAGACUCAGUGAAAUUGAACUCGCUGUGAAGAUGCAGUGUACCCGCGGCAAGACGGAAAGACCCCGUGAACCUUUACUAUAGCUUGACACUGAACAUUGAGCCUUGAUGUGUAGGAUAGGUGGGAGGCUUUGAAGUGUGGACGCCAGUCUGCAUGGAGCCGACCUUGAAAUACCACCCUUUAAUGUUUGAUGUUCUAACGUGGACCCGUAAUCCGGGUUGCGGACAGUGUCUGGUGGGUAGUUUGACUGGGGCGGUCUCCUCCUAAAGAGUAACGGAGGAGCACGAAGGUUGGCUAAUCCUGGUCGGACAUCAGGAGGUUAGUGCAAUGGCAUAAGCCAGCUUGACUGCGAGCGUGACGGCGCGAGCAGGUGCGAAAGCAGGUCAUAGUGAUCCGGUGGUUCUGAAUGGAAGGGCCAUCGCUCAACGGAUAAAAGGUACUCCGGGGAUAACAGGCUGAUACCGCCCAAGAGUUCAUAUCGACGGCGGUGUUUGGCACCUCGAUGUCGGCUCAUCACAUCCUGGGGCUGAAGUAGGUCCCAAGGGUAUGGCUGUUCGCCAUUUAAAGUGGUACGCGAGCUGGGUUUAGAACGUCGUGAGACAGUUCGGUCCCUAUCUGCCGUGGGCGCUGGAGAACUGAGGGGGGCUGCUCCUAGUACGAGAGGACCGGAGUGGACGCAUCACUGGUGUUCGGGUUGUCAUGCCAAUGGCACUGCCCGGUAGCUAAAUGCGGAAGAGAUAAGUGCUGAAAGCAUCUAAGCACGAAACUUGCCCCGAGAUGAGUUCU